rnacentral:rRNA from 1 species
GACGAACGCUGGCGGCGUGCCUAAUACAUGCAAGUCGAACGAACCGCGACUAGGUGCUUGCACUUGGUCAAGGUGAGUGGCGAACGGGUGAGUAACACGUGGGUAACCUACCUCAUAGUGGGGGGUAACAGUCGGAAACGACUGCUAAUACCGCAUAGGACAUAGGAUCACAUGAUCCAGUGAGGAAAGGUGGCGCAAGCUAUCGCUAAGAGAUGGACCCGCGGUGCAUUAGCUAGUUGGUAGGGUAAAGGCCUACCAAGGCGAUGAUGCAUAGCCGACCUGAGAGGGUGAUCGGCCACAUUGGGACUGAGACACGGCCCAAACUCCUACGGGAGGCAGCAGUAGGGAAUCUUCCGCAAUGGACGCAAGUCUGACGGAGCAACGCCGCGUGAGUGAAGAAGGUCUUCGGAUCGUAAAGCUCUGUUGUUAGAGAAGAACAGCGCAUAGAGUAACUGUUAUGCGUGUGACGGUAUCUAACCAGAAAGCCACGGCUAACUACGU